rnacentral:rRNA from 1 species
UACGUAGGGUGCAAGCGUUGUCCGGAAUUAUUGGGCGUAAAGAGCUUGUAGGCGGUUUGUCGCGUCUGCUGUGAAAUUUCGGGGCUCAACCCCGAACUUGCAGUGGGUACGGGCAGACUAGAGUGUGGUAGGGGAGACUGGAAUUCCUGGUGUAGCGGUGAAAUGCGCAGAUAUCAGGAGGAACACCGAUGGCGAAGGCAGGUCUCUGGGCCACUACUGACGCUGAGGCGCGAAGGCGUGGGGAGCGAACGGG